GACGUAGGGCGCGAGCGUUGUCCGGAUUUAUUGGGCGUAAAGAGCUCGUAGGUGGUUCGGUAAGUCGGAUGUGAAAUCUCCAGGCUCAACCUGGAGGGGUCAUUCGAUACUGCCGUGACUAGAGGUCGGUAGGGGAGUGUGGAAUUCCUGGUGGAGCGGUGAAAUGCGCAGAUAUCAGGAGGAACACCCGUAGCGAAGGCGGCACUCUGGGCCGAUACUGACACUGAGGAGCGAAAGCGUGGGAGCGAACAGG
rnacentral:rRNA from 1 species